ncrna:unclassified sequences RAGATH-18 RNA
CCUGUGGACUGUCACAUCAAAUGUCAGUAGCCUUACGGCGAGGACAGACAGGGUGAAGCAGGAA